UACGUAGGGUGCAGGCGUUAAUCGGAAUUACUGGGCGUAAAGCGUGCGCAGGCGGUCUGCUAAGAGAGAUGUGAAAUCCCCGGGCUUAACCUGGGAACUGCGUUUGAAACUGGAAGGCUAGAGUGUGGCAGAGGGGGGUGGAAUUCCACGUGUAGCAGUGAAAUGCGUAGAGAUGUGGAGGAACACCGAUGGCGAAGGCAGCCCCCUGGGCUAACACUGACGCUCAUGCACGAAAGCGUGGGGAGCAAACAGG
rnacentral:rRNA from 1 species